GGGGAUUUGGCUCAGUGGUAGAGCGCUUGCCUAGGAAGCACAAGGUCCUGGGUUCGAUCCCUAGCCCCG
rnacentral:tRNA from 1 species